UGAAAAUUGUGGAGUACUCUUGUAGCCCAUUGUGCUAAGCAAAGGAUGUGAUGAUGAGGAAGAUUGCCUCUGGGAUUCAGGAUGGGACUUACACAUAUUCUUGGAAAUAAAAACACCAAAAUGGUUGGCAUUUGUGCCUUUGUAGCAGGCAUGUUUCCCAUAUAAUGAUGAUGAUGAUGAUGAUGAUAAUUAAUAAUAAUAUAAUGUGAAGAAAAAUUCAGUAAGGCAAAACAGCCAGGUAUUAUACCAUCUCAAUGGUAUAAUACCUGGCUGUUCAGCUGAAUAUGAGUCAGAAAUGUGAUCAAGCUGCCCAAAAAGCAGAACAGAUAGGAACAGAUUCUAUUUCUUAUAAAUAAAGCUUAAAACUGCACUUUUGGGACAUCCUAUAUAUAAGAUGAUAUAUAUUACUUUGGAAGGCAAAAAGAUUAUUCACUUAUUCAGGGACACUCAUAUGGCACCUACUUGCACAUCCUUAAAGCAGUCGUGGUUUGCAUAACUGUUUGCUGGGGCUGCUAUCCCAUGCCAGAAAAUAUGCAUUUAGUUUAGGGACUUGCACCAAGUGCUGUUUGCAUCUUCAUAUACACCAAAGGAUCUUUUUGCCUUUGAACCUGAGGCAUUGCAGGUAAUGCGUUUCACUGUGUUCUGAGUUGGUAAGAUCUCACCCUUACUAUUGGGUCCAAUUUUAAGCACCAAAUUUUAAGAACGAUUCGGAGAAAGAGAGGGAGACGGUGAGGUGGACAAAAGGGAACUGGAGACUAGGUCUUCUUUGAGGCAAUUUAUUUCAUUUUGAUAACUGACCAUUCAUAGAAUAUUCUAAAUAGCUUACAAGAGUUAAAACUAACAUUAUAAACAACAAUAAAUAUAGCCACACUGUGAGAUAAAAGCCAUGCCAACUCACAAAAGACUAUUUAGAAUCAAGAGUGGUCUCACAGAACAUCUUAGUUUGGAACCAGGGGGAAAAGUCGGGUUUUCUUGAAGGAUGGCUGGGUUGGACUUGUAUGGAUCUCAGGGGAGUGGCAAUGAGAAUAGAGACAGAGGAUGGUUCUUGGAUCCCAUAAGAGAACACUGUCUAAGAUAGUUCUAUGCAAGUAUUUUUUUUUAUUGCUUUAAAGUGCCAAAAUAAUGGAUUUGUUCCAGGAAGGACAAUUCCAGUUAAAUGUUAGGAAAUACAUCUUCACAAUAAAAGGAGUCCAACAAUGGAAUUAAUUACCAAGGAAGGAAAUGAGUUCUCCUCCAAUGCAUGCAAGCAGAGGCAAAACAACCACUGGUAAAGAAUACAUUGCACUGGCAUUAAACUUAGUAUAAAGGACCCCUUCCAACUCAAAGAUUCCAUAUAUCUUCUUUACUUGAGGAAGCAACAGUCUGUCUUGUUAGGAAGAAAAACUGGGCAGAAAAGCAAGAAGAAGCAGAUAGACAAAGCAUGAGGCUUCUCCUUCUCAGCCUUCUGCACAACAGACAGAAACUUAUAAAGGCCUAUAUAUGACUACAAGGGUUGCAGUUUCCUGUAAAACCCGUACGAAAAACCAUGAAAAAAUGGUAGGAUAUGGGGCAGUGUUUUGACUAGGCACUAUGCCACAGGGAAUCUUGUACUAAUGAUUUUGAGGCAUGCACAUUUUAGUGGUCACAUUGUGUAAGGGUGGAAUUGGCUUUCUCAUGUUCCAUCAUUUGUCUUUGAAUAUUCAUGUAGCACAACCAUGUACAAAAAUUUAUUGAUUUCACUAAUAGUGAGGCUAUCAAUACAAUAGCAACAUUCUCAUUAUCCUGAUUCAUUUUUAUUUUAGAAAGAAUUUUUUAAAAAGUAACUAAUUUUAUUUAUUUAUUUGUUUUAUAUGUUUUAUAUAUUUAUUUAUUUAUUUUUAUUUAUUUAUUUGUCACAACAGUAUAUAUAAGCAUAAGCAUGAAAAACUAUACUAUAUAAAGCAUAUAUAUAAUCAUAAGUAUGUAAUAAUUAUAUGAAAUUGGAUACUAUCAAAGGAAACAUUAGGACAGGAACGGUAGGCACGUUGGUGCUCUUAUGCACGCCCCUUACAGACCUCUUGGGAAUGGGGUGAGGUCAAUAGUAGAUAGUUUUUGGUUAAAGCUUUGGGGAUUUUGGGAAGAGAUCACAGAGUCUGGCAGUGCAUUCCAGGCAUUAACAACUCUGUUGCUGAAGUCAUAUUUUCUGCAAUCGAGAUUGGAGCGGUUCACAUUAAGCUUAAAUCUAUUGUGUGCUUGUGUAUUGUUGCGAUUGAAGCUGAAGUAGUCUUCAACAGGAAGGACAUUGUAACAGAUGAUUCUAUGAGUUAAACUCAGGUCCUGUCGAAGGCGGCGAAGUUCUAAAUUUUCUAAACCCAGGAUUUCAAGUCUGGUAGUAUAAGGUAUUUUGUUGUAAUCAGAGGAGUGGAGAACUCUUCUUGUAAAAUAUUUCUGGACACGCUCAAUUGUGUUAAUGUCCGAAAUAAGGUAUGGGUUCCAGACAGGUGAGCUGUAUUCAAGAAUUGGUCUAGCAAAUGUUUUGUAUGCUCCGGUUAGUAGUGUAGAGUUUCUGGAGAAGAAGCUAUGCAAUAUUAAGUUUACAGCUCUUAAAGCCUUUUUUGCGAUGUAGUUGCAGUGGGCUUUGUUACUUAGAACAUUUCAUAUGAAAACUCCAAGGUCUUUAACGGGGUGGGGGUCAUCUACAAGGUAAUGAUCAUCAAGCUUGUAUUUAGUGUUCAGAUUCUUUUUUCCAAUGUGUAAGACAGCAUUUGCUGGUUGAGUUGAAUUGUUGAAUUGUUGUUGAAUUCAACAAUUGUUGAAUUGUUGUUGAAUUGUUGUUGAAUGCUGGUUGAACUGUUACCUAUGAGGAAUUUGCAUUUGAAUGUUUUGAUCCAAGUUUCUAAUUUCCCCUUCUUUCCCUAGUUCUCUAAUACUUGGGUAAAAGUGACACAAUUAAAAAAACAAAAGAAAUGCAGUGACUCAAAAAGCAGUCACAGAACAUAUUCUUCUCAUCAGUUAUUCCCUAUCUACAGACUGAUUUAUGAACAAAAGAAAAGCAAUCUAACAAGGAUGUUACACAUUAAUUGCUUUUUGUUGUUUCAGUUCAGACAUAUUAAAAAUAUAUAGUAAUUUUCAUCUUGCAAGUAGAAAGUUUAGGAACAUGAUGACAGUGUCCUUUUUAUUGUUCCUUAUUCUCAUGUUUUGGAUUUUUUAGUGCAAUAAUGCACUGAGACAGAAGGUAUUUCAGAUGUCAUGUAUGCUGCAUCCAACCUUCAUUAAUCAUAGUGGGGAUGAAUACUAAUCUUUGCUAAUCUUUGUUUGGGCAAAUGGUAGAUUUAUGUGUUCUAGGAUCAGUAAAGAUAGCUACAUCUGGAACUGUAAUUAUUUACAAAAGCCUGGCACUACUUUUUAAUGCUUCGAAUUUCCAUUGCCAAUUCAAUGGAAAUUCCACAGUGCAGAGAAAUAACUGAUCAAACUCUACAUCUUUACCCUGCAGAUUCUACUUCAGAUGAAAAUAAACCUGAUCAAAGGCUAUUCUUCUAUAAUUUAUUUACUGAAUUUACAUUCCACUUUUCCACCAAAGCAUGGCCUCAAAGUGACUGGUAAUCAUUUACAGAAAUAUAUGUUUUAUUGUCUGCCAACAUUUUGAUUUUUUCUCAUCUGCAGAUAUUAUUCUGAAUACCAAUAAUUAGUAACUCUACAUUGGCUGAUAUUUCUUACAACUCUUCUAUAUGGUUGGCAGUGAUGCGGAAGUUCUUUCUUGUCUGAGUAACUGCAUUCAUCCCCAGCAGUCUGUGCAAGUUAGCACUAUUCUAGACACAAGUAAUAUGCCAAAGAUACUCUCUUGAAGAGGAAAAACUGCUGUCCCUUUAAGCUCCAAAAGGAUGCAUUAGGUUAAGGUGCUCCAGGGUUUCAACCUAUGAUGCAGAGAAGUAUGUUCAGAAGUGAGGGAGUACAAGAACAACAGAAAAAAAAAAUCACAUGCAGGAAGAGAUUGAGUGCAUUACUUCCACCGCCUCUUUUACUCUUGACAGCCACUUUCUUAAAGAUGUUUUUCUGAAGGCUGCAUUAUUACUGAUUUUCUUGCUUGCUUGUUUUUCAUAUUUUUGACUGCCUAUUUUCCUUGGAUGAGAUAAUACAUUUAAUGAUUGGGACCCUACUAAUUCACUUGGACACAUGGAUGACUUUGGUAUUUGUCAUGUUUAGGUGAGCAAAAACCUUGUUGGUGAUAUACAAUUGCUCUAAUACUAAUCUGAAAAACCAAGUCUGAAGUUUUAGAAAGAAACAUUAUAAAUGUUAUAAUCUAUGUACAGUUGUCAGUGGGGUGCACAAAGAAUUUGAUGGUG